rnacentral:rRNA from 1 species
ACCGUAAUGAUUAAUAGGGACAGUUGGGGGCAUCCGUAUUCAGUUGUCAGAGGUGAAAUUCUUGGAUUUACUGAAGACGAACUACUGCGAAGGCAUUUGCCAAAGAUGUUUUCAUUAAUCAGGGAACGAAAGUUAGGGGAUCGAAGACGAUCAGAUACCGUCGUAGUCUUAACCAUAAACCAUGCCGACUAGGGAUCGGGCGAUGUUAUUGUAUUGACUCGCUCGGCACCUUUCGAGAAAUCAAAGUGUUUGGGUUCUGGGGGGAGUAUGGUCGCAAGGCUGAAACUUAAAGAAAUUGACGGAAGGGCACCACCAGGAGUGGAGCCUGCGGCUUAAUUUGACUCAACACGGGGAAACUCACCAGGUCCAGAUACACGUAGGAUUGACAGAUUGAGAGCUCUUUCUUGAUUGUGUAGUUGGUGGUGCAUGGCCGUUCUUAGUUGGUGGAGUGAUUUGUCUGCUUAAUUGCGAUAACGAACGAGACCUUCAUCGUUAACUAGCCCGGCUCGCCUUGGCGGGUCGCCGGCUUCUUAGCGAGACUUUUGGCUUAAGCCAAAGGAAGUUGGAGGCAAUAACAGGUCUGUGAUGCCCUUAGAUGUUCUGGGCUGCACGCGCGCUACACUGACAGAGGCAACGAGUUUUGUUCCUUGGCCGGAAGGCCUGGGUAAUCUUGGUAAACUCUGUCGUGCUGGGGAUAGAGCAUUGCAAUAAUCGAAUUCC